GAUGAACGCUGGCGGCGUGCUUAACACAUGCAAGUCGAACGGAUUUAACAGAAAGCUUGCUUUCGGUUAAAUUAGUGGCGGACGGGUGAGUAACGCGUGGGUAACCUGCCUCAUACAGGGGGAUAACAGUUAGAAAUGACUGCUAAUACCGCAUAAGCGCACGGUAUCGCAUGAUACAGUGUGAAAAACUCCGGUGGUAUAGGAUGGACCCGCGUCUGAUUAGCUAGUUGGUGAGGUAACGGCCCACCAAGGCGACGAUCAGUAGCCGGCCUGAGAGGGUGAACGGCCACAUUGGGACUGAGACACGGCCCAAACUCCUACGGGAGGCAGCAGUGGGGAAUAUUGCACAAUGGGGGAAACCCUGAUGCAGCGACGCCGCGUGAGUGAAGAAGUAUUUCGGUAUGUAAAGCUCUAUCAGCAGGGAAGAAAAUGACGGUACCUGACUAAGAAGCCCCGGCUAACUACGUG
rnacentral:rRNA from 1 species